GUACACGCUGUGACUAGCAUAUCAAUAAGCGGAGGAAAAGGUACUACCUACGCUUAGGAUGUUGACACCCGUGCUCGACUCUAUACAUGACUCUGUGCAUAUCAAUAAGCGGAGGAAAAGAAACUAACAAGGAUUCCCCUAGUAACGGCGAGUGAAGCGGGAAGAGCUCAAAUUUGAAAUCUUAAAGGGUUUCCCUUUACGAAUUGUAGUUUAAAGAAGUGUUUUCUGUUGAGGUUUUGGUAAAAGUUCUUUGGAAUAGGACAUCAUAGAGGGUGAGAAUCCCGUAUUUGACCUUUACUUUCAACUUUGUGAUACACUUUCAAAGGAGUCGGAUUGUUUGGGAAUGCAGUCCAAAAUGGGUGGUAAAUUUCAUCUAAAGCUAAAUAUUGGCGAGAGACCGAUAGCGAACAAGUACCGUGAGGGAAAGAUGAAAAGAACUUUGAAAAGAGAGUUAAACAGUACGUGAAAUUGUCAAAAGGGAAGCGUUUGACACCAGUGUUGUUUUUCUGAAAAUCAAUUAAAGAACUGUCUUAUGCUAAGCUUGUUUAGACUUUAUCAGCUAUCUGUUUAGUUUUGAGCUUUUCUUUAAUGCACUUUUCAGUUAACAAGUCAACAUCAAUUUCUUUUGCUGUAAAAAAGCUUGAGGAAGGUGGCUUGAGAUUCGUCUUAAGUGUUUAUAGCCUCUUGCCUAUGCAGUCGGAGAGAUUGAGGUCUGCAGCGUAGAUCCUUCGGGGCUAAAUGCAUUUGUGCUAAGUUAUAGCAUUUUAUAGACAACUUGUUGACUAUGAUUUGUCUUGUAGCUUACUCGCUUAUGUUAUUUUACCUACGCUUAGGAUGUUGAAGAUGUAGCACAUCAU
rnacentral:rRNA from 1 species